UCUUCGAGCUCCCACCGGGAAAGAAACAGAGAGAACUGAUGAUUUGAAAGACGAUCUCUUCCGGCGUAUCUUCUUCUUCAAUCCACCACAACAACUUCGAUUCUCGACAACAACUUCUCCAUGCAUGGUAUUCAUCUUAUCGUUUGAUCAAGUUAUAUGUGCUCCCGGACUUUGACGAGGGAAAACGCAGCUGCUGGAGAAAGCUAGAGCGUCACAACAAUAGAAGGAAAAGGAAACCUGUAGACAGAAGAGGAGUUGCUUCAAAACAACAGCAAGUGAACAGGUUCACAGGAUUGGUCAAGCUUUGAAGAUAGGGCCCGCAGGCCGACCCGCAUAACCGCUGCUAUAGUGCGGGUCAGGAUUGGUCAUAGGGUUCAGGGCCCGUGUCCCGCGGCGGUACGACCCGCAAAGACUCAACUGAAAAUGGUACCGCGGCGGGGCGGGACAAAUGGGUUGCGGGUGAUCCCAAUUGCCAUCUACUCUACUAAAAUAGAGUCCUAUUUGAAUUUACUGUGGCAUAUUUUAAAAUUAGACCUAUUAAAUAUGUUGUGACUAAAUAU